AGCGGCGGACGGGUGAGUAAUGCUUGGGAACAUGCCUUGAGGUGGGGGACAACAGUUGGAAACGACUGCUAAUACCGCAUAAUGUCUACGGACCAAAGGGGGCUUCGGCUCUCGCCUUUAGAUUGGCCCAAGUGGGAUUAGCUAGUUGGUGAGGUAAUGGCUCACCAAGGCGACGAUCCCUAGCUGGUUUGAGAGGAUGAUCAGCCACACUGGGACUGAGACACGGCCCAGACUCCUACGGGAGGCAGCAGUGGGGAAUAUUGCACAAUGGGCGCAAGCCUGAUGCAGCCAUGCCGCGUGUGUGAAGAAGGCCUUCGGGUUGUAAAGCACUUUCAGUCAGGAGGAAAGGUUAGUAGUUAAUACCUGCUAGCUGUGACGUUACUGACAGAAGAAGCACCGGCUAACUCCGUGCCAGCAGCCGCGGUAAUACGGAGGGUGCGAGCGUUAAUCGGAAUUACUGGGCGUAAAGCGUACGCAGGCGGUUUGUUAAGCGAGAUGUGAAAGCCCCGGGCUCAACCUGGGAACUGCAUUUCGAACUGGCAAACUAGAGUGUGAUAGAGGGUGGUAGAAUUUCAUGUGUAGCGGUGAAAUGCGUAGAGAUCUGAAGGAAUACCGAUGGCGACGCAGCCACCUGGGUCACACUGACGCUCAUGUACGAAAGCGUGGGGAACAACCGGAAUUAGAUACCCCGGUAGUCCACGCCGA
rnacentral:rRNA from 1 species